UUGUCACUGGCGACAGAAGAGAGUGAGCACACGGGGCCCCGUCCAUGGAUCGCAUGGAUUGAGCUUCGCGUGCUCACUCUCUGUCUGUCAGCUGUGCCUGUU
rnacentral:pre_miRNA from 1 species